UGGGGAAUAUUGCACAAUGGGCGCAAGCCUGAUGCAGCCAUGCCGCGUGUGUGAAGAAGGCCUUCGGGUUGUAAAGCACUUUCAGCGAGGAGGAAGGUGGUGGACUUAAUACGUUCAUCAAUUGACGUUACUCGCAGAAGAAGCACCGGCUAACUCCGUGCCAGCAGCCGCGGUAAUACGGAGGGUGCAAGCGUUAAUCGGAAUUACUGGGCGUAAAGCGCACGCAGGCGGUUUGUUAAGUCAGAUGUGAAAUCCCCGGGCUCAACCUGGGAACUGCAUUUGAAACUGGCAAGCUAGAGUCUCGUAGAGGGGGGUAGAAUUCCAGGUGUAGCGGUGAAAUGCGUAGAGAUCUGGAGGAAUACCGGUGGCGAAGGCGGCCCCCUGGA
rnacentral:rRNA from 1 species